rnacentral:rRNA from 1 species
GACGAGGGGUCCUAGCGUUGUUCGGAAUCAUUGGGCGUAAAGCGUGUGUAGGCGGCCUUGCAAGUCAGUUGUGAAAGCCCCGGGCUCAACCCGGGAAGUGCUUCUGAUACUGGCUUGGCUUGAGUACUGGAGAGGAUAGUGGAAUUCCAGGUGUAGUGGUGAAAUACGUAGAUAUCUGGAGGAACACCGGUGGCGAAGGCGGCUAUCUGGCCCAUGUACUGACGCUGAGACACGAAAGCGGUGGG